UGGGGAAUUUUGGACAAUGGGCGAAAGCCUGAUCCAGCAAUGCCGCGUGUGUGAAGAAGGCCUUCGGGUUGUAAAGCACUUUUGUCCGGAAAGAAAUCCUUGGCUCUAAUACAGUCGGGGGAUGACGGUACCGGAAGAAUAAGCACCGGCUAACUACGUGCCAGCAGCCGCGGUAAUACGUAGGGUGCAAGCGUUAAUCGGAAUUACUGGGCGUAAAGCGUGCGCAGGCGGUUUGCUAAGACCGAUGUGAAAUCCCCGGGCUCAACCUGGGAACUGCAUUGGUGACUGGCAGGCUAGAGUAUGGCAGAGGGGGGUAGAAUUCCACGUGUAGCAGUGAAAUGCGUAGAGAUGUGGAGGAAUACCGAUGGCGAAGGCAGCCCCCUGGGCCAAUACUGACGCUCAUGCACGAAAGCGUGGGGAGCAAAACAGGAUUAGAUACCCUGGUAGUCCACGCCCUAAACGAUGUCAACUAGUUGUUGGGGAUUCAUUUCCUUAGUAACGUAGCUAACGCGUGAAGUUGACCGCCUGGGGAGUACGGUCGCAAGAUUAAAACUCAAAGGAAUUGACGGGGUCAUA
rnacentral:rRNA from 1 species